UCGUAACAAAAUGUGUGAGGCAUGCAAAGGCUGUCGCUGACCUUUAACACAAAGGUCGUGCACGCCAGAGUGUGUCCUCUCGCAUAAAAUCCAUCUCACCCUUUUGUGCACCACCGCGCGGGCACCCUCUGGGAUCGAACCGAUCCAGGAGGGGGCUUGCGUUUUCACACAAACCCCCUUUUAAAAGUGUAGAAUGACCCCAUUUUUGCGAUAACACGCAAUCAAUA
rnacentral:misc_RNA from 1 species